rnacentral:rRNA from 1 species
GAUGAACGCUGGCGGCGUGCCUAAUACAUGCAAGUCGAGCGAACAGACGAGGAGCUUGCUCCUCUGACGUUAGCGGCGGACGGGUGAGUAACACGUGGUUAACCUACCUAUAAGACUGGGAUAACUUCGGGAAACCGGAGCUAAUACCGGAUAAUAUAUUGAACCGCAUGGUUCAAUAGUGAAAGACGGUUUUGCUGUCACUUAUAGAUGGACCCGCGCCGCAUUAGCUAGUUGGUAAGGUAACGGCUUACCAAGGCAACGAUGCGUAGCCGACCUGAGAGGGUGGUCGGCCACACUGGAACUGAGACACGGUCCAGACUCCUACGGGAGGCAGCAGUAGGGAAUCUUCCGCAAUGGGCGAAAGCCUGACGGAGCAACGCCGCGUGAGUGAUGAAGGUCUUCGGAUCGUAAAACUCUGUUAUUAGGGAAGAACAAAUGUGUAAGUAACUAUGCACGUCUUGACGGUACCUAAUCAGAAAGCCACGGCUAACUACGUG